UACAGAGGGCCCAAGCGUUGUUCGGAUUUACUGGGCGUAAAGGGUGCGCAGGUGGGUUUGCAAGUUCGAUGUGAAAGCCCCGGGCUUAACCCGGGAAUGGCAUUGGAUACUGCAGAUCUGGAGGAUCGGAGGGGGGACUGGAAUUCUUGGUGUAGCAGUGAAAUGCGUAGAUAUCAAGAGGAACACCAGUGGCGAAGGCGAGUACCUGGACGAUACCUGACACUGAGGCACGAAAGCUAGGGGAGCAAACAGG
rnacentral:rRNA from 1 species